AUGAACGCUAGCUACAGGCUUAACACAUGCAAGUCGAGGGGCAGCAUCAUCAAAGCUUGCUUUGAUGGAUGGCGACCGGCGCACGGGUGAGUAACACGUAUCCAACCUGCCGACAACACUGGGAUAGCCUUUCGAAAGAAAGAUUAAUACCGGAUGGCAUAAUUAUUCCGCAUGGGAUAAUUAUUAAAGAAUUUCGGUUGUCGAUGGGGAUGCGUUCCAUUAGGCAGUUGGCGGGGUAACGGCCCACCAAACCUACGAUGGAUAGGGGUUCUGAGAGGAAGGUCCCCCACAUUGGAACUGAGACACGGUCCAAACUCCUACGGGAGGCAGCAGUGAGGAAUAUUGGUCAAUGGACGAGAGUCUGAACCAGCCAAGUAGCGUGAAGGAUGACUGCCCUAUGGGUUGUAAACUUCUUUUAUACGGGAAUAAAGUGAGCCACGUGUGGCUUUUUGUAUGUACCGUAUGAAUAAGGAUCGGCUAACUCCGUGCCAGCAGCCGCGGUAAUACGGAGGAUUCGAGCGUUAUCCGGAUUUAUUGGGUUUAAAGGGAGCGUAGGCGGGUUGUUAAGUCAGUUGUGAAAGUUUGCGGCUCAACCGUAAAAUUGCAGUUGAUACUGGCGACCUUGAGUGCAACAGAGGUAGGCGGAAUUCGUGGUGUAGCGGUGAAAUGCUUAGAUAUCACGAAGAACUCCGAUUGCGAAGGCAGCUUACUGGAUUGUAACUGACGCUGAUGCUCGAAAGUGUGGGUAUCAAACAGGAUUAGAUACCCUGGUAGUCCACACAGUAAACGAUGAAUACUCGCUGUUGGCGAUAUACAGUCAGCGGCCAAGCGAAAGCAUUAAGUAUUCCACCUGGGGAGUACGCCGGCAACGGUGAAACUCAAAGGAAUUGACGGGGGCCCGCACAAGCGGAGGAACAUGUGGUUUAAUUCGAUGAUACGCGAGGAACCUUACCCGGGCUUAAAUUGCAACUGACGGAACCGGAAACGGUUCUUUCUUCGGACAGUUGUGAAGGUGCUGCAUGGUUGUCGUCAGCUCGUGCCGUGAGGUGUCGGCUUAAGUGCCAUAACGAGCGCAACCCUUACGGGUAGUUACCAUCAGGUUAUGCUGGGGACUCUACCCGGACUGCCGUCGUAAGAUGUGAGGAAGGUGGGGAUGACGUCAAAUCAGCACGGCCCUUACGUCCGGGGCUACACACGUGUUACAAUGGGGGGUACAGAAGGCAGCUACACGGCGACGUGGUGCUAAUCCCAAAAGCCUCUCUCAGUUCGGAUUGGAGUCUGCAACCCGACUCCAUGAAGCUGGAUUCGCUAGUAAUCGCGCAUCAGCCACGGCGCGGUGAAUACGUUCCCGGGCCUUGUACACACCGCCCGUCAAGCCAUGAAAGCGGGGGGUACCUGAAGUACGUAACCGCGAGGAGCGUCCUAGGGUAAAACUGGUGAUUGGGGCU
rnacentral:rRNA from 1 species